rnacentral:rRNA from 1 species
AAACAUGGCUCUUUGAGAUUUAUAUAUAAAGAGUCGGGCCUGCCCAGUGAUGUAUUUUUAACGGCCGCGGUACUCUGACCGUGCGAAGGUAGCAUAAUCAUUUGCCCUAUAAUUGAGGGCUAGUAUGAAUGGUUUGACAUGAGCAUAACUGUCUCCUUAAAAUUUUAUAAAAUUUGGUUUUUAGGUGAAGAAACCUAAAUUAAAUUGAAAGACAAGAAGACCCUAUCGAGCUUUAGAAUAAUUAGUUAAAAAAUAUAAAUAAAACAAUUAAUUUUAAUUAAAAACUUUGGUUGGGGCGACUGAGGAACAUAUAAAGCUUCCUUAAUUAAACAAUGCUGAUAAGCAAUGAUCCAGAAAAUCUGAUUAAAAAAAUUAGUUACCGUAGGGAUAACAGCAUAAUCUUUUUUGAGAGCUCUUAUCGAAAAAAAGGUUUGUGACCUCGAUGUUGGACUAGGAUAUCCUAAAGAUGUAGAAGUCUUUAAUGGUUGCUCUGUUCGAGCAUAAAAAUCCUACGUGAUC